rnacentral:rRNA from 1 species
UAAUCGAUGUUAGCGAUAUACGGUUAGCGUCCAAGCGAAAGCGUUAAGUCAUCCACCUGGGGAGUACGCCCGCAAGGGUGAAACUCAAAGGAAUUGACGGGGGCCCGCACAAGCGGAGGAGCAUGUGGUUUAAUUCGAUGAUACGCGAGGAACCUUACCCGGGCUUGAAAGUUAGUGAAGCACCCAGAGAUGGGUGCGUCCUUCGGGACACGAAACUAGGUGCUGCAUGGCUGUCGUCAGCUCGUGCCGUGAGGUGUUGGGUUAAGUCCCGCAACGAGCGCAACCCCUAUGGAUAGUUGCCAGCAUUUAAAGGUGGGGACUCUAUCCAGACUGCCUGCGCAAGCAGUGAGGAAGGCGGGGACGACGUCAAGUCAUCAUGGCCCUUACGUCCGGGGCUACACACGUGCUACAAUGGUCGGUACAGCGGGCAGCCACCUGGCAACAGGGCGCCAAUCCCGCAAAGCCGGUCACAGUUCGGAUCGGGGCCUGCAACUCGGCCCCGUGAAGUUGGAUUCGCUAGUAAUCGCGUAUCAGCAAUGACGCGGUGAAUACGUUCCCGGGCCUUGUACACACCGCCCGUCAAGCCAUGAAAGCCGGGGGUGCCUGAAGCAUGUGACCGCAAGGAGCGUGUCAGGGCAAAACUGGUAAUUGGGGCUAAGUCGUAACAAGGUAACAGAA